rnacentral:rRNA from 1 species
UACGUAGGGUGCAAGCGUUGUCCGGAAUUAUUGGGCGUAAAGGGCUCGUAGGCGGUUUGUCACGUCGGGAGUGAAAACUCGGGGCUCAACCCCGAGCCUGCUUCCGAUACGGGCAGACUAGAGGUAUGCAGGGGAGAGUGGAAUUCCUGGUGUAGCGGUGAAAUGCGCAGAUACCAGGAAGAACACCAAUGGCGAAAGCAGCUCUCUGGGACGGUACUGACGCUGAAACACGAAAGCGUGGGUAGCAAACAGG